rnacentral:rRNA from 1 species
GACGAACGCUGGCGGCGUGCCUAAUACAUGCAAGUCGAACGAGAGCACCCGGUGCUUGCCCUGGUCAAUCUAGUGGCGAACGGGUGAGUAACACGUGGGUAACCUGCCCAUCAGAGGGGGAUAACAUCCGGAAACGGAUGCUAAAACCGCAUAGGUCUUCGAACCGCAUGGUUUGAAGAGGAAAAGAGGCGCAAGCUUCUGCUGAUGGAUGGACCCGCGGUGCAUUAGCUAGUUGGUGAGGUAACGGCUCACCAAGGCCGUGAUGCAUAGCCGACCUGAGGGGGUGAUCGGCCACAUUGGGACUGAGACACGGCCCAAACUCCUACGGGAGGCAGCAGUAGGGAAUCUUCCGCAAUGGACGCAAGUCUGACGGAGCAACGCCGCGUGAGUGAAGAAGGUGUUCGGAUCGUAAAACUCUGUUGUUAGAGAAGAACAAGUGCUAGAGUAACUGUUAGCGCCUUGACGGUAUCUAACCAGAAAGCCACGGCUAACUACGUG